AUGGACGAAGAGCGCGUGGAACGGGAAGGCCGCCGCCUCAAGAAGAAGGCGAAGCAUCGUGAUGAAGAGGGGAAGGCGAAGGAUAAAUUGAAGCGUCGCACAGAUGAAAAGGCAACUGAGGCUGAUUCGGUCGCAGAAAAAGGUAAGCAGGAGGCUGUGGUAGGCGUUGCGGAGGAGAAAGAAGGCCACAAGCGCAAGAAAGGGAAGGGCCGCAGUGAGGAGACGAAGAGCAAGGAGAAUGUUCCAGUCGUUUCAGGUAGCAUAGAGAACGGUGUUGGUGAGGAGCAGGCCAAGAAGUCGGGCUCGAUGGCGCUGAAGCCUUGUUCGGAGGGUGCCAUGAACAAAGACAAUGUGAAGAAAGACAAGAAGAGAAGGAAGGAGGAGAAGAAGAAAGAGAAAGAAGCUGACAUGACCGAGCAGAAGCAGAGUUUUGAUACUACUGUUGGUAAGGAGCAAGCUGAAACUUCUGGCUUGAUGGCGGUAAUGCCCUGUUUGGAGCGUGCCCAGGGUGAUAUGAGCAAAGACAAGGUGAAGAAAGUCAAGAAGAAAAAGAAGGAAGAGAAAGAAGCUGAGAAGACUGGGCAGCAGAAGCAGACAUUUGAUACUACUGUUGAAAAUUCAGGGGCAGAGUAUGCAGAGGGAGACAAGGUUGAGGGAAAACAGUCUAGCAAGGCAAAGAAGAGCAAACGCAAGAAUGAUGAUGGUGCACCUGCUGCUGAUCAAACCGUGACAAGAGAAUAUAAGAAGAAAAAGAAGGAGCAUUCAGUUGUGCUGGAAGAGAGCAGCCAAACCGAAAAUACCAAUGAAGGUGAGAAUAGAGAGAUUAAGAAGGGAGGAAAGGAAAGGAGUAAAGCGAGUCCAGACUUUAGUGAGAACGCAUCUGCUGGGGGAGAGGAAGCUGGUGUAGAUGGUAAUGAUGAUAAGAAGAAAAAGAAGAGCAAGGGGAUUGGAGGAGGGAAAAAAGAGAAAGAAAAGGCAGUUCGGUCAACAAAGGGUAAGCUGGUGAGUUUUGCUGGUUCCGCGGAGAUGUUUAGAACCGAAGGUGGUGAUGGUGAGGGGAUUGGAGGAGGAAAAAAGAAAGAAAAGACAGCUCUGUCAAAGAAGAAAGGUAAGCGGGUGAGCUUUGCUGAUUCUGCGGAGGUGUUUAGCAUUGAAGGUGGUGAUAAUGAAGAGGAUGGCAUCAGAGAUGAAUCGAAAAGUGUGCAUGGUCGGUUUACACCAGAGGAAGACGCCACCCUCAUGGAAGCUAUGAGGGGUUAUGCAGAGAUGAAGCAACUGGGAGAGAAAGGUUUAGAGAUGAUUGGGUCUUGUCGUAAAUACCCAGAGCUAAAGGGUUGUUGGGAUGAUAUAGCGAAAUCGUUACCCCAUAGACCUUACUUGGCCAUAUACAGGCGAGCACAUACGUUACUCCAUCGGAGCACUGGAUGUAAAUGGACAGAUGAAGAAAAAGAGCAGAUUCGGCGGUUUGUCGAGAAAAAUGGCACGGAUUGGAAAACACUGGCACAGGAACUUGGAAAGAGUGAGAUCCAUGUAAAACAUGCUUGGAGAAGAAUAAAACCUAAGAAGAAAAAAGGUGCUGAUGAUGAAGAGGAUGCCAGCGGUGGUGAAUCUGAACUUGUACAUGGACAUCGGUUUACCACAGAGGAAGAUGCCAUCCUCAUGGAAGCUAUGAGGGAUUACGCAGAGCUGAAACAACUGGGAGAGAAAGGCUUAGAGAUGAUUGGGUCUUGUAGUAAAUACCCAGAGCUCAAGGGUUGUUGGGAUGAUAUAGCGAAAUCGUUACCCCAUAGACCUCACGAGGCCAUAUACCAUCGAGCGCGUAUAUUACUCUAUAGGAGUGCUGAACGUAAAUGGACAGAUGACGAAAAAGAGCAGAUUCGGCGGUUUGUCGAAAACAAUGGAGCGGAUUGGAAGACAUUGGCACGGGAACUUGGAAAGAGUGAGAUCCACGUAAAAGAUACUUGGAGAAGAAUAAAACCUAAGAACUUGAAAAAAGGACGUUGGACUCAGGAUGAACAGCAAAACUUGUUUGAUUUGGUGAACCUUGACUUGCGUCUGAAAGCCCAUCAAAUAAAAAAUCCUGAUCAUCGGCUGCUAAGAGAUAACAUUUCCUGGGAGGCCAUCAGUGAUAAAUUGACCACCCGUAAUCACAAGAAUUGUUGCCUCAAGUGGUACGAAACAUUAGCAUCUCCGAUGGUCAAGGAAGGAGUCUGGGCUGAUGUUGAUGAUUAUCUACUGGUGGAAGCGCUUCAAAAGGUUGAUGCUGUCUGUAUUGAAGAUGUUGACUGGGACAGCCUACUUGAUCACAGGUCUGGGGAGGUUUGUCGUCAAAGAUGGAACCAGAUGGUCCAAGCCUUUCAUCGAACAAGUGGAAGUGCUGUCGAGGCGCUACUGCCCAGAAAUGAUUGA
rnacentral:rRNA from 1 species